CCUUGUUUUAACGUCUCAAAUCAUUUCACAAAAGGUCAAUCAAAGAAGCCAGUAAAUAUCAAGGCGAAGGGAGUGAAAAUCGAUUACCUCCAGCAUAGUAAGUCAUGUUUUGGACGCUAUUCUUCGAGUGGUUUCGUGAGUUCUAGACGUGUGUUUGAUCAAUCUCGCUGUCAGCGAACAUCGUUCCAGAAUCCUCAGAGUAAGAAGGCAAAAGACAAGGUCGACGUCGAGUAGCUGGAAUAUACGGUUGUGUCAAAAUCCAUGUUUCUUUCCGAUCGUUUAGAGCCUUAAGUCAAAUCCGUGAUUUUGACAAACUUUGUGAUCCGCUUUCGCGUUCAUCCUUCUCAUCCUUUAUCAUUUGUAUCAGAUUUGGGUGUUUUAGGUGUUCUUUUUAUUUUUAUAAAUUGAUUUCUAGAAAAUAGCCUCAAAACAAUUUUUUACCUCGACAGUUUUUAGAAAAAAAUAUUUUUCAGUGGGUAAAUGAUUUUCAAAAAAUCUAAAAUUUUAGAUACUAUUUCUUGGCACUGUUUUAGAGAAUUAAAAAUAUAUUUCUCACAAAAAAAGUGAUCAAAAAAAGUACAAAAAAAUCAAAUACAAAAAAUAAAAAAAAUAUUCUGUGGGUUGAAUUUUGUGCUGAAACUUUCCAGAUCAGAUCUAAAUUAUUUGAGGAGGCUUUAUUUUAAAUUUUAUGAUUUUUGGAAAUCGGGAACACCUCAAAUGAAGUUUUUCAAGUUACUUCGUAAUUUUUCAGGUUUUCGGGUUUCAGCAAUUUUCAUUGACUCUUAGCUUUAAGUUUUCAUUUGUUUUUACUUUUUAUUUGUUUCUUUAUGCAUUCUAACACUUUCUUCCUCCAUGCAACAUAAUUCUUUGAUGUCUAAGCCAAUUUUGGACUCAUUGUGCUAUUAGGUUUGCUUUGAUAGUUUGGUUCUAAUACAUUCUGAUUGAUUGAUAUAGGCACUUUUUAAAAGACUCGCAAGAUUAAUUCUUACCUCAUUGAGAUUUUUUUUGAGUGCAUAUAGGUGAGGUUUGCUUAAUUUUUUUUCUUUUGAAGUGUUGUGCUUUUCUAGGCUUUCAUUAUGAUCAUGACACUCGUGCCCGUAAAAACCAUGAUAAGAUACCAUCUAAUGACAAAGAACAAGAUGUUACGUUGGAAAAUAUUGUGGGGAUGGUAAAAUUUCAACAUCAACAAUUGAAAGAGGUACAUGAUACAUUUGAGGCCAAUUUGACUAAGUGUCGAAUGGAACUAUAAGAGAACAUUAACUAGCUUUCCAAUCAAAUUCAACUACUAACUCAAGUUGUUGCUCAUUUGGAGACUUAUUCAAAUCAACGAUCUCGUGCUCAUGAUAGUGAUGAUGAUAGGGCAAUGAACAACUUCUUAUUUGUUGUAAUACUGGUAGACGCGAAUAUCAUCACAUUGAUGAAACUUUGGGUCUUUCUAAUUGCAGCCAACAUUCUAUCGCUACACCAAAGUUCAACAUUCCACCAUUCCAAGGAAAGUAUGAUCUAGAGGUAUAUUGUGAUUGGGAGGAUAAAAUGGAGAUCAUUCUCAUUUGUUAUAGAUGUUCGAAAGAGGAGAAAGUUCCAUUAGCUAUAUUGGCAUUUUCGGAUUUUGCAUAGAGUUGGUGGACUCAACUUGUGUUGAAUCGCCAAAGGAAUCAUGAAUGAGAUGUUGAUUCAUGGGAACGGUUAACACAAAUCAUGUGAAAACGUUUUAUCCCACCUCACUAUUAUAGGAUAUUAAACGGAGACUUCAACGCAUUGUUCAAGGUAAUCGAUCUGUUGAUGAGUACUUUAAGGAGAUGGAGAUGCAUAUGCACAGCGUAAAUGUCCAAGAAAAUGAGGAGACUACCAUGGUGCAGUUUGUAGAUGGUUUGAACGUUUGAAUAGCUAAUGUUCUUGAUCUUCAAACCUACAUUGAUGUAACAACCCAUUUUUGGUAAAAUUAGAACAGUGGUUUCGGGACCACAAAUCUAAUUUCGAAAGGAAAUUUUAUUUUAA